rnacentral:rRNA from 1 species
GUGGGGAAUCUUGCGCAAUGGGCGAAAGCCUGACGCAGCCAUGCCGCGUGAAUGAUAAAGGUCUUAGGAUUGUAAAAUUCUUUCACCGGGGACGAUAAUGACGGUACCCGGAGAAGAAGCUCCGGCUAACUUCGUGCCAGCAGCCGCGGUAAUACGAAGGGGGCUAGCGUUGCUCGGAAUUACUGGGCGUAAAGGGCGCGUAGGCGGACAGCUUAGUCAGAGGUGAAAGCCCAGGGCUCAACCUUGGAAUUGCCUUUGAUACUGGCUGUCUUGAGUUUGGGAGAGGUGAGUGGAACUCCGAGUGUAGAGGUGAAAUUCGUAGAUAUUCGGAAGAACACCAGUGGCGAAGGCGACUCACUGGCCCAAUACUGACGCUGAGGCGCGAAAGCGUGGGGAGCAAACAGGAUUAGAAACCCGAGUAGUCC